rnacentral:lncRNA from 1 species
GUUCAUAAUAUUAUUGCGUGUUGAUAUGGUUGAGUGCUGGUUCCCGUUAUCUUUAAAGAUCGUUUCAUAGCAGGAGGCUGACUAUCUGGGUAACGGUUUGAUUGAGUUGUUUAGUAUUGAUAUUAUUGUUUAGUUGUUGGUGUUAGUGGUCUUAGGCCAUAUAGGCCGGAUUACUGGUACUAUUGGCUUGUGUUAGCUUGUGUUGUAGAGUUGAGAGUCUAGUUAGGAUCUGGAACUUCAACUUUAGGUUAGGUUCUAGAUUGUGUUUGCGUUGUGUGAGUUGCCGACAGUAUGUGCGUAACCCGCCCAUACUAGGCUUUUUUAGGGGUGAUUAGUGUUUCCUCGGCUUCGUACCCAGCGGGUUCAAGGAAAUCCCUUAUUCUCUGGAUAGGGAAGACUCAGACGAAUGGGGUCAUCUCCUAUGGCUGAGUAUUACACGACGGUGUAAUGUGGCAGUGACCCGAAGGACUGUGGGCUGUCGCACGGUGACCCGAAGGACAGUGGGCCGCUGUCGGUUGAAAGUUCCUUCUUCUGGCCUUUGUGGUAGGAAGAUAGAAUAUUGCCGAUGGAGAGGAGGAACACGAAGUCACCAGGGCCCAGGUUAGAGUGCUGUGUUAGAAU